rnacentral:rRNA from 1 species
CGCCUGUUUAUCAAAAACAUGUCUUUUUGUUAAUUAUUUAAGGUUUGGCCUGCUCCAUGAUGAAUUAAAUAGCCGCAGUAUUUUGACUGUGCAAAGGUAGCAUAAUCAUUAGUUUUUUAAUUGAAAGCUGGAAUGAAUGGUCGGAUGAGAAAGUAACUGUCUCAUUUUAAUUUUUUUUGAAUUUUAUUUUUAAGUUAAAAAGCUUAGAUUUUAUAGAAAGACGAGAAGACCCUAUAGAGUUUAAUAGGUUUAUAAUUUAGUUAUUUGAAGGUUUAAUUUUGAUUAUUUUAUAGCUUAUUUGGUUGGGGUGACAUUAGAAUUGAUUAAACUUCUUUAUAUUUGAACAUUGAUUAGUGAAUAGGUGAUCCUGAUUUUUGGAUUAUAAGAAUAAAUUACCUUAGGGAUAACAGCGUAAUUCUUUUGGAGAGUUCUGAUCGAUAAAAGGGAUUGCGACCUCGAUGUUGGAUUAAAGUUAAUUUUUGGUGCAGAAGCUAAAAUUUUG